CCUACGGGCGGCAGCAGUGAGGAAUAUUGGUCAAUGGGCGGGAGCCUGAACCAGCCAAGUCGCGUGAGGGAAGACGGUCCUAUGGAUUGUAAACCUCUUUAGGCGGGGAGCAAUGCCGGGCACGCGUGCCCGGAGGGAGAGUACCCGCAGAAUAAGCAUCGGCUAACUCCGUGCCGGCAGCCGCGGUAAUACGGGGGAUGCGGGCGUUAUCGGGAUUUUUUGGGUUUAAGGGGUGCGUUGGCGGAUUUUUAAGUCAGCGGUAAAAUGUGCGGGCUCAACCCGGGCCGGCCGUUGAAACUGGGGAUCUUGAGUGGGCGAGAAGUAUGCGGAAUGCGUGGUGUAGCGGUGAAAUGCAUAGAUAUCACGCAGAACUCCGAUUGCGAAGGCAGCAUACCGGCGUCCGACUGACGCUGAGGCACGAAAGCGUGGGGAUCGAACAGGAUUAGAUACCCGGGUAGUC
rnacentral:rRNA from 1 species